rnacentral:rRNA from 1 species
GAUCUGGCUCAGGAUGAACGCUAGCUACAGGCUUAACACAUGCAAGUCGAGGGGCAGCAUGGUCUUAGCUUGCUAAGGCCGAUGGCGACCGGCGCACGGGUGAGUAACGCGUAUCCAACCUGCCUUACACUCUUGGACAGCCUUCUGAAAGGGAGAUUAAUACAAGAUGUUAUCAUGAGUAAGCAUUUUCGCAUGAUUAAAGGUUUACCGGUAGUAAGACGUGGGGAUGCGGUUCCA